UGGGGAAUUUUGGACAAUGGGCGAAAGCCUGAUCCAGCAAUGCCGCGUGUGUGAAGAAGGCCUUCGGGUUGUAAAGCACUUUUGUCCGGAAAGAAAUCCUUGGCUCUAAUACAGUCGGGGGAUGACGGUACCGGAAGAAUAAGCACCGGCUAACUACGUGCCAGCAGCCGCGGUAAUACGUAGGGUGCAAGCGUUAAUCGGAAUUACUGGGCGUAAAGCAUGCGCAGGCGGUUUGCUAAGACCGAUGUGAAAUCCCCGGGCUCAACCUGGGAACUGCAUUGGUGACUGGCAGGCUAGAGUAUGGCAGAGGGGGGUAGAAUUCCACGUGUAGCAGUGAAAUGCGUAGAGAUGUGGAGGAAUACCGAUGGCGAAGGCAGCCCCCUGGGCCAAUACUGACGCUCAUGCACGAAAGCGUGGGGAGCAAACAGGAUUAGAUACCCUGGUAGUCCACGCCCUAAACGAUGUCAACUAGUUGUUGGGGAUUCAUUUCCUUAGUAACGUAGCUAACGCGUGAAGUUGACCGCCUGGGGAGUACGGUCGCAAG
rnacentral:rRNA from 1 species